GCAAACUUGGUCAUUUAGAGGAAGUAAAAGUCGUAACAAGGUCUCCGUUGGUGAACCAGCGGAGGGAUCAUUAAUAGGGCUCUCAGCCUCUAUAACCACUGUGCUCCAAUGCUAUUUCUGCUGAGGCGGGCCGCUCGCUGGGGGAGCCUAGGCCUAAAGGUGGACCGCCAAAGCAACUUUCAAGCCCUGAAAUAUACUAUAACAAAACUUUCAAAAUAUCACAACUCAUAACAAUGGAUCUCUUGGCUCUGGCAUCGAUGAAGAACGCAGC
rnacentral:misc_RNA from 1 species